rnacentral:rRNA from 1 species
CAAGCGGUGGAGCAUGUGGUUCAAUUCGAAGCAACGCGCAGAACCUUACCAGCCCUUGACAUCCCGGUCGCGGAGAGCAGAGACGCACUCCUUCAGUUCGGCUGGACCGGAGACAGGUGCUGCAUGGCUGUCGUCAGCUCGUGUCGUGAGAUGUUGGGUUAAGUCCCGCAACGAGCGCAACCCUCGCCCUUAGUUGCCAUCAUUUAGUUGGGCACUCUAAGGGGACUGCCGGUGAUAAGCCGGAGGAAGGUGGGGAUGACGUCAAGUCCUCAUGGCCCUUACGGGCUGGGCUACACACGUGCUACAAUGGCGGUGACAGAGGGGUGCAAAGGGGCGACCCUUCGCAAAUCUCAAAAAAGCCGUCUCAAUUCGGAUUGGGGUCUGACACUCGACCCCAUGAAGUUGGAAUCGCUAUGAAUCGCAUAUCAAUGCGCUGCGCGUGAAUACGCUCCCGGGCCUUGCACACACG